ensembl:lncRNA
AAAUCCUUCUCUCCUUUUCUAGCAAUUCUACUAAUUUCCUGAUGCACCGUUUUAUUUGUGACAGAGCGGAGAAUAACUGUGGUACUCCACAACAUACUGAAUGGGAAAGUAGCAUAAGAACACGGAAACAAAGAGCCUUUUCAUGCUGCAAGGGAGAGUAUUCCCAUUGGCACAGAGAACCUUCACUGCUGGGACUGCUAAACUGCAAAUCUGUGAAAAGAAAGAUUUCUAUGUUCAGAAAUACUGGAUAUAUUUAAAAUAGUGUCAUUUUAGUGUGUAUGCAUGCCUGUGUGUGUAGACACACAAUUUGCUGAUGUAUGUAAGUAUGUAUUUCUUUAUUUUAAGAUUCUAUUUAUUUAUUUGACAGAGAGAGAGAGAGAGAGGGCACAAGCAGGGGGAGCAGCAGAGGGAGAGGGAGAAGCAGGCUCCCCAUUGAGCAGGGGGCCCAAUGCGGGGCUCCAUCAGGAUCAUGACCUGAGCCGAAGCCAGAUGCUUAACCUGCUGUGCUACCCAGGCCCCUCUGGCUUAUGUAUUUAUAUGCAUGUUUUUCAGGAAUUUCUUUCGGGUUCAAAUGUCCUUGGCUGGAAGGAGACCCACACAGACACGUUUGGGAGAAAUCUGAUAAUGGCUGAAGAGUUUGGGACAAACCUGAGGCACACGUGGGGCUUAAUGUUCCCGUUGUGUUUGUUCAGGUAUGAUUGGGAAACUUUGCGUUAGUGGAAAACUUUCCCCUGGGAAGUACUGACCAUCCCUGAACAAUGUGAGAAAGUUUAUGAGGAGAACAUCUUCCUGGGAUCCCUUUUUAAAGACCCAAAGAAUGUGUCAGCGAGAGGUGGCAGUGAGGGCCUCCUCCCCACUGUGUGUGGCCAGUUCUCCCAAAGAAGAAACCUCCUCUUACCCCGCACCCCUCUCACUCCACCCAGUUGCUUCUGCAGCUCUUCUAAGCACGGUUACUUGCUCAGCCUGGCAGCAGUUGCCAUUCGCUUCUAUUUUCCUCUGUUUCCCUUCCUGCUUUUGUCCUGUUUGUUAACUGCGCUUCAACCAGGUGUCUCCCCACCAGCACCCUUUGUUUCCUGACUGGACUUUGAAAGGAGGCCACCCUCUUGCCCUGCUUUGGUGGAACAAAACAGACAAAAUAUGCAGAUUCUUAACUCAAGUAAGUAGAAUUAACCAGUAACUAACCCCCUCAUCCCUUCUUCCUGCAUCCCCCUCAUUUUAAUAGGAUUUUUUAUUAUUGAGGUCUGGUAAGGCCAACAGAUUAAGAUACAGUUGCCAUUGAAAAGACAGUCUAUUAUAUGCAGAUUCCAAGGGAGGGAAUACAUGUCAUGCCAUUGGGGGCCACACAGGGAAGCACCAGGGUUAGGAGGCAGAGGGAAGGAGGAGAACUAUGGGUAAAAGCCUUUAUCAUGGUUUCCACAAGAAGGAACAGGCAAGGCAGGGAAAGCAGGAUUGGCUACUUUGAAUAAUUUCAGUGGACUUUGGAGCAUAGGAGCCGUCCUUAGCUCUCUCACGUCUGGCCCUGUGGUGAGUAGGCUGGUGUGUACAGUUGCCCAGAGUGAGAGCCUGAUGAGGGAGGUGAUAGUGGGUGUAGCCUCUGAAUUGGUUGGUUUGUAUUUGAAAAGCACACCUCUGGGAGGAGGACUCCUCUUGAGGGGUAGGGGAGCACAGAAAGACAAGACAAGGGAACUCAGCCCCAUUGUCAUGUUGUCUGGGACAA